CCUCAAAGAGGGGGACAACAGUUGGAAACGACUGCUAAUACCGCAUAAGCCCACGACCCGGCAUCGGGUUGAGGGAAAAGGAGCAAUCCGCUUUGAGAUGGCCUCGCGUCCGAUUAGCUAGUUGGUGAGGUAACGGCCCACCAAGGCGACGAUCGGUAGCCGGACUGAGAGGUUGAACGGCCACAUUGGGACUGAGACACGGCCCAGACUCCUACGGGAGGCAGCAGUGGGGAAUAUUGCACAAUGGGGGAAACCCUGAUGCAGCGACGCCGCGUGGAGGAAGAAGGUCUUCGGAUUGUAAACUCCUGUUGUUGAGGAAGAUAAUGACGGUACUCAACAAGGAAGUGACGGCUAACUACGUGCCAGCAGCCGCGGUAAAACGUAGGUCACAAGCGUUGUCCGGAAUUACUGGGUGUAAAGGGAGCGCAGGCGGGAAGACAAGUUGGAAGUGAAAUCCAUGGGCUCAACCCAUGAACUGCUUUCAAAACUGUUUUUCUUGAGUAGUGCAGAGGUAGGCGGAAUUCCCGGUGUAGCGGUGGAAUGCGUAGAUAUCGGGAGGAACACCAGUGGCGAAGGCGGCCUACUGGGCACCAACUGACGCUGAGGCUCGAAAGUGUGGGUAGCAAACAGGAUUAGAUACCCUGGUAGUCCACACCGUAAACGAUGAUUACUAGGUGUUGGAGGAUUGACCCCUUCAGUG
rnacentral:rRNA from 1 species